GACGAACGCUGGCGGCGUGCUUAACACAUGCAAGUCGAACGGAAAGGCCCUGCUUUUGUGGGGUGCUCGAGUGGCGAACGGGUGAGUAACACGUGAGUAACCUGCCCUUGACUUUGGGAUAACUUCAGGAAACUGGGGCUAAUACCGGAUAGGAGCUCCUGCUGCAUGGUGGGGGUUGGAAAGUUUCGGCGGUGGGGGAUGGACUCGCGGCUUAUCAGCUUGUUGGUGGGGUAGUGGCUGACCAAGGCUUUGACGGGUAGCCGGCCUGAGAGGGUGACCGGCGACAUUGGGACUGAGAUACGGCCCAGACGCCUACGGGAGGCAGCAGUGGGGAAUAUUGCACAAUGGGCGGAAGUCUGAUGCAGCAACGCCGCGUGCGGGAUGACGGCCUUCGGGUUGUAAACCGCUUUCGACUGUGACGAAGCGUGAGUGACGGUAAUGGGUAAAGAAGCACCGGCUAACUACGUG
rnacentral:rRNA from 1 species